GGACAAGAAGACCCUAAGAAUUUUAAAGAUAAUAAUUUUAAUAUUAAAAUUAUUAUCUUUUGGUUGGGGCAACUAAAAAAGAUUAUAAACUUUUUAUUUAAUAAAAUGAUCCAUUAUUAAUGAUAAUUUGAUAAAAAUACUCUAGGGAUAACAGCGUAAUAAUUUUUGAUAGAACAUAUAGACAAAAUAGUUUGCGACCUCGAUGUUGGAUUAGGAUACUUUUUUAAUGAAGAUGUUAAAAAAAGAAGUUUGUUCAACUUUUAAAGUCCUACUUGAUCUGAGUUCAGACG
rnacentral:rRNA from 1 species